CCUCUACCAAAGCAGGCAGUUAUACCUUAUAUAGAAGUCGUCAGUUCGCUGACUAUGGUGAUAAACGGCGAGUGGAAUAAGCGUAGUGGACCCGGGGGCGGUACCCGGCGCCUCCACCAUAUAACUCCGUUCUGCGGGGUUCAUGGGGGCGAAACAGGCUCGACGCGCGCGGUAAAGACUCGUUUUUUGCCCGGCAUGGUUCCGCCGUUAUCGGGCCAUAUUACAGGUGCCAAUGAUAAUCAUGAGGCGCUCGCUGUCGCUGCAUAAGCGAUAAGCGCGGUUCGGGGGGCACCGGGCAACAGAAGCCCCCCACU
rnacentral:tmRNA from 21 species